AUUGCAUGUUGAUUGAAUGACAAGCUCGUGACCCGUCCUUUUUAGCAGGGUUACAUGAGGCUGUGCUCUGCACCCGGGACUUUUGAGCAUAUAAAAUCAUUGACCAGACCACCGGAUUUCUCAUAUCUAUCCCUAAAAAUCCACACACCACUGGCAAAAGGGUUAAAGGCUUUGCCUGGAAAACCACUUAAAGUUAAGGAAUUUAUUUUGAUGUGUGUCUAGGCCUCAGCUAUUUUCCCUCAUGGUGCUCAACCUUGGUGGCUCCCCCUACCCCCCCAUCCUACCCCAAAGGCUAUCAUCUCUCCACUGGCAGCUGGGCAGCAUGCCAGGGGGGUGUCGUCCCUCCCUGGCUGCCUCCAACCUUCAUCUCCUUUUGCCUCUGAGCCCUGCCGUGGUUAACUCUUCUUUAAAUAUGGUCCUUUCGUUGCAGAAUGAGCUACAGUGGUUUUCUUUGUCUUCAAAGACUCAACAUUGGGACUCUGAGGAUCUUCAAACAGAAUUUUGUUCUUUUUCUUUUUUUUUUUUUUUGAAGAUGGGAGAAAACAUCGAUUCCCUUUUUUUUAUAAGUUAUGAAGAAGAUAGUUAGCCAAUCAUGUUUGAAAUGUAUGUUGUUGUGAUCAUCAGCUGGAUGGCCGUGGCAGAUGGGUAACUAUGGAGUAAAGGGUGGUGAGUCUCAUGGUUAGCGUCUUUAUUGCUCUAGUGCUAGCCACAGCAGGGUUCCCUCAGUGCUUAUCAUGUUUCAGAGCUGCACAUGGGGAAAAGGACCUCUCCUCUCAGUCAUCACCAGUGUCGUUUUCAAGCUCACGAGGGAAUUCUGCUUCGGCAUCUACAGUUAAAGUGACUCCUUUAACUGCCUAAGGCAGAUCAGCGCUACACGCCUCACAGGGGUAUACGGCCACGGCAAGAGACAAAGCAAACCUGACUUGACUGCUUGAGGAGCGCAUCCAAAGAGGAUUUGAAAUUCAAUUCCCAAACUGUGUAAAAGAAAGACCAUGGGCUGGUGAGACGGCUCAGUUGGUAAAGGGGCUUGCCACCAAGUCUGACAACCUGAAGUUUGAUCUGCAGGGCUCUCCUGGCUCAUCUACCAUGACUAAGAAUGAAUGGUGGGGAGAGCUGCUUUAGCUGUGACUUCAAAGUGUGGGAUGAUGUCACAGGUGAGGCAGGUACAAGAUAGAAUGAGGCCUGUCAUUGGACGAGAAGGAAGGAUGGGCGGGAGACAACAGUGCGGACGUUCUGUGGCAGUUGGUGAUACUGAGUUCGUUGUCAGGAAGUUGAGAGAGACAGAGGCUGGUUCUUCGCUCACCCCUUCCUUUUCCCAUUUUCAUUUGGUCCAAGACCCAAGCCUGUGAGAUGGCGCCAUCCGUAUUGAGGAGAUUUCACUUCAAAUUCCAGUGCCAACACCGACGAAACGCAAGUGUGCAGUAGCCAUUCUCAGGAGAAACGGUUCUAAAGGUGCUUUACCUGCUUUGUCUUUUCGCCAAUAACCAUUCUGCUGCAAUGUCAGACGGACCAAGCUAUUUUCUCAGGAUUUUCUGCAGGACUUGUAUUCACAUUCCUUCUGUGUAACCUUUCUUCUUUGAUUGCUGCUUUUUUCUUUUCUUAAAAAAAAAAAGGUGUAUUUUUCGUUCAUGUGUA